CGCGUAGGCGGUUUCGGAAGUCAUGGGUGAAAGUCCUCGGCUCAACCGAGGGACUGCCUGUGAAACCACGGGACUGGAGUGCUGGAGAGGGAAGCGGAAUUCCCAGUGUAGCGGUGAAAUGCGUAGAUAUUGGGAGGAACAUCUGUGGCGAAGGCGGCUUCCUGGACAGACACUGACGCUGAGGCGCGAAAGCCAGGGGAGCGAACG
rnacentral:rRNA from 1 species